UACGGGGGGGGCAAGCGUUGUUCGGAAUUACUGGGCGUAAAGGGCGCGUAGGCGGUUUGCUAAGUUGGAUGUGAAAACUCUGGGCUUAACCCAGAGCCUGCAUCCAAAACUGGCAAACUUGAGUACUGGAGGGGAAAGCGGAAUUCCUGGUGUAGCGGUGAAAUGCGUAGAUAUCAGGAGGAACACCGGUGGCGAAGGCAGCUCGCUGGGACGGUACUGACGCUGAGGCGCGAAAGCGUGGGGAGCGAACAGG
rnacentral:rRNA from 1 species